ACAACGGCUUUACUACAAGCCACAUAAAAACAAUUUAAAGUAAUA
rfam:Gossypium hirsutum cultivar TM-1 chromosome 2, whole genome shotgun sequence